GGGUGUAUCAGUAUGAAUUUGAAUGCAUGAAUUUUCCCAAGGAUGUAUUCCCAGAAGAUCUGUCUUCAGUGGUUUCAUUCCAAAUCCCUUUGAGCCCAAGGAAGCUUUGCACCUUUGGUGCCUUGUGGCAGAAUGCUCCACGGAUCUACUCCAAACACCAUCAUGUCCUCUGUGGUGCUGCACACCUGUAGGUAUCCAGCUGUGACCUGAGUAGAGGAGAUGACAAAUUCCUCUGGUCUCUGCUGCUCCCAAGUAGCCCCAGAUGGGAUGUUCUGCAUGUGACAGCACACGUUGGCUCACAUUGAACUCAGCACCCACUGCGUACCCUGCGCCCCUUCCACUGAGGCCUCUCAGCCGGCUGCUUUCAGCCUGGAUCUAUGCAUGAGGAUUUCCUGCUCCCCAUGAAGGACAUUGCACGUCUCACUGCUGAACUUCAGGAAGUUUCUGUUGGCUGAAUCUCCACAUUUCUCGAGGUCCCUCUGGACUGACACAGCUGAUGUCAGCCGCUCCUACCAGAUUUGCACUGUGCGCAAAAAUUGGGUGCACUUCAUCCAAGAGCAUGUGCGUGAGGAACCAAGGAGAUCCCAGGCAUCCCAGAAAAAAAUGGGAAGAGGAGGAAGUUCUUGUUGUGCCCUGGAAAGAGCAGAUCUGGCCAAGAAUGUGCAACUGACUCCCUUUGCGUUGUGAUCACCUGCAGAUCUCGAAAGUGCUUCUAGAGAGAAACACUGCUUCCCAGCUUUCAUUUAAUGAAAAAAGAAGCAAGCAGCAUUAACACAUGAAGCAAAAUCCUCUGAGAUGUUCCCAUCAGCUCAACACACACAAAAAAAACUUCAGCGGAUUGAGCAGUGUGCAAAAAUACAUCCAAAGGAUGCUCUUCCACAUCAAACAGCACUGGCGUGCUCUUGCACAGGCUUCCAGAUGGUCCAUCUUUGGAGCCUUUUCUUUUAAGCGGAUAGCCUGAGGCACAACAGGACCAUAUCACUGCUUUAUUUAGAGCACAGAAAAUAAAAAGUCC
ensembl:lncRNA